rnacentral:rRNA from 1 species
UACGUAGGGUGCGAGCGUUGUCCGGAAUUAUUGGGCGUAAAGAGCUCGUAGGCGGUGUGUCACGUCGGCCGUGAAAACCUGGGGCUUAACUCUGGGCGUGCGGUCGAUACGGGCAUCACUAGAGUUCGGCAGGGGAGACUGGAAUUCCUGGUGUAGCGGUGAAAUGCGCAGAUAUCAGGAGGAACACCGGUGGCGAAGGCGGGUCUCUGGGCCGUUACUGACGCUGAGGAGCGAAAGCGUGGGGAGCGAACAGG